rnacentral:rRNA from 1 species
CCCUCUCCCUCGCGCCGUAGCUCUUGCUCCCGCACACGCCUGACCCCGCGCCGCCGCACACGUCGUCGAUCUCGUGCUCCGGAGCCGUCCCGCGCCGCGUCCAAGAGCCUCACCGUCGACGUCUCCUUCGCCUGGGUACUCCGAAUCGAGCAGGGACGCAUCGCAUCAUCGCCUUGUUCGCCGUCUUCUCUGCCACAGUCGCCACUGCCUCCGCGUCGAUUCGCCCGACCACGACCUCCCCCGGCUUCCCCAAGACUGCCUCGACCACCACUACCCCGUGGCGGCUGCCGAUGCCGCUGUGAGCGACUACGUCACCGACGACCCCUCCUUCUUGUCUGAGCAACCAGAUGCUGGAGCCCAGGAGCCAGACGCCAUCGUCGACGACGACUCCUACUACACCGGAGGUGCCUACUACUACGUGGAGGCCGCCGCCGACGACCAGGAGUAGUUUAGGAAGAUCCCAGGCAGGAGGCCUGUGCCUCUUUCGAUCUGUAUCCCAGUUUGUGCUAGCCAUCUUAUGGCAACUUGUUUAACUUAUGUAUAUACUCAGAUAUUGUUGCUUCCGCUGACUCGUCUAUGAUUGAGCACUUGUAUUCGAGCCCUCGAUGCCCCUGGCUUGUAUUAUGAUGAUUGUAUGACUUAUUUUAUUUUAGAGUUGUGUUGUGAUAUCUUCCCGUGAGUCCC